GCUGGGCGUGGUGGUGCAUGCCUGUAAUCCCAGCUACUCAGGAGGCUGAGGCAUGAGAAUCAUUUGAACCCAGGAAGUGGAGGCUGCAGUGAGCUGAGAUUGCACCACUGCACUCCUGCCUGGGUGACAGAGUGAGACCCUGUCUCAA
rfam:Gorilla gorilla gorilla genomic chromosome, chr9, whole genome shotgun sequence